rnacentral:rRNA from 1 species
UACAGAGGUCCCAAGCGUUGUUCGGAUUCACUGGGCGUAAAGGGUGCGUAGGCGGUCGGGUAAGUCUGAUGUGAAAUCUCACAGCUUAACUGUGAAACUGCAUUGGAUACUAUUCGGCUUGAGAGUUGGAGGGGGGACUGGAAUUCUUGGUGUAGCAGUGAAAUGCGUAGAUAUCAAGAGGAACACCGAUGGCGAAGGCAGGUCUCUGGGCUGACACUGACGCUCAUGCACGAAAGCGUGGGGAGCAAACAGG